GACGAACGCUGGCGGCGUGCCUAAUACAUGCAAGUAGGACGCAGUUGCGAACGGGUGAGUAACGCGUGGGUAACUACCUAUUAGAGGGGGAUAACUAUUGGAAACGAUAGCUAAUACCGCAUACUAGUAGAUGGACCUUCGUUGUAUUAGCUAGUAGGUAGGGUAAAGGCCUACCUAGGCCACGAUACACAGCCGAGCCGAGAGGGUGAUGGGCCAAACUGGGACUGAGGAAAGGGCCAGACUCCCACGGGAGGCAGCAGUAGGGAAUCUUCGGACAUGGGGGGAACCCCGAACGAGCAACGCCGCGGGAGUUGAGAAGGUCUUCGGAUCGUAAAGGUAUGUUGUUUAGGAAGCGGUACCUAACCAGAAAGGGACGGCUAACUACGUGCCAGCAGCCGCGGUAAUUC
rnacentral:rRNA from 1 species